CAACAUCUUUAGAACUACUGAUUUCUCUCUACAAAACCAGAAUCAGCGCGUUUUGUCUGCCUUCCUGUUUAGUUCAAGUCGGAUGUGCCAUCAUCACCCACCUUUACACACGGAUUGGGGAGCCCCUAUCAGUCCUGGCAGGAGACCAACACAUGAGAUAAGUGUCCUGCGAACCGAUCAGUGGCGUGCAAAACAUAUUGGGCAACACUGUCCAUAGGAAAAUACCUCAGAAAAACAAGGUAAGCGUCUUUGAACAGGGUAAGCAUCCCAGAACAAGGAUUUUUUUAGGACAAGAUAAGCAUCUUGACUCCUUUCAUGAGAAACAAGCGAUUAGUGAAAAACAUGUUUGUGCAGUUCGACUUUGGCACAACAAUAUUAUGGAUGACGUAUUUGAAUCUCAGGAUGAUCAGUCCAUACAGGAUCAGAAUCAAUCCACACCUCAAUCACCUCAUAUGUAUGUCUGAAGGUGGAGUUGGAGGUGCUCCACUGAUCCGUGAGUAAUGGAGCCAAUUACUGACAAUCACACCUUCCAAAAUAAAUACAGUAACAGGAGGACAAUGAUAAAUUCUAUGCUACGUGGGCGACGUAAUCGUCCGCAAGUUAGUCUUAAUACAUGCCAUCAUCCCUGUCCCAAAAAAGUCUGACUUAACCUGCCUCAGUGAUUACAGGCCAAUCGCUCUUACCUCAGCAGUGAUGAAGUGCUUUGAGGGGCUGGUUGCACAUCAUUUCAAUGCCAGCUUCCCUCCCUUCUUCUAUCCCCAUCAUCAAAUUCCUGAGGAUACACAUCUCUGAGAAGCUCGCCUGGUCUAUCAGCACCUCAACACUCGCUAAGAAGGCACAGCAGCGAGUCCACUUUCUGAGAGUACUCAGGAAAAUCAAGCCGAAUCAGUAGCUGCUUGUGGCCUUUGAUCGCUCUGCCAUCAAAUGUAUCCUGGCAUACUGCAUUACAGUGUGGUAUGCUGGCUUACUGCGUUACAGUGUGGUAUGCUGGCUUACUGCAUUACAGUGUGGUAUGCUGGCAUACUGCAUUACAGUGUGGUAUGCUGGCUUACUGCAUUAGUGUGGUAUGCUGGCAUACUGCGUUACAGUGUGGUAUGCUGGCAUACUGCGUUACAGUGUGGUAUGCUGGCAUACUGCGUUACAGUGUGGU